rnacentral:rRNA from 1 species
CCUACGGGAGGCAGCAGUAGGGAAUUUUCGUCAAUGGGCGCAAGCCUGAACGAGCGAUGCCGCGUGAGUGAAGAAGGCCUUCGGGUCGUAAAGCUCUGUUGCGGGGGAAAAAAGGCAGCAUCAGGAAAUGGGUGCUGACUGAUGGUGCACCGCCAGAAAGUCACGGCUAACUACGUGCCAGCAGCCGCGGUAAUACGUAGGUGGCGAGCGUUAUCCGGAAGGAUUGGGCGUAAAGGGUGCGCAGGCGGUCCUGCAAGUCUGGAGUGAAACGCAUGGGCUCAACGCCUGCAUGGCUUUGGAAACUGGAGGACUGGAGAGCAGGAGAGGGCGGUGGAACUCCAUGUGUAGCGGUAAAAUGCGUAGAUAUAUGGAAGAACACCAGUGGCGAAGGCGGCCGCCUGGCCUGUUGCUGACGCUGAGGCACGAAAGCGUGGGGAGCAAAUAGGAUUAGAUACCCCAGUAGUC